CUCAAGACAGCUGGUUCACACUACUUCAUUUGCGCUAUCCCCGGCCACUGUGCCGGCGGCAUGAAGCUCUCUGUCAACGUAGGUGCAGCAGCCUCUUCAGACGGUGGCGGUGACACUGGUGACGGUACCACCCCCAAAACUACACCUUCUCCAACCGUAGAGGGCAGGAAGGCUGCUCCUUCCGCUUCUGCCACUGCUAUGUUGAAGCCGUUCAAAGCUUUGGUUGUGACUUGUGUAGCUGCAUUAUUAUAUGCUUUGGCUCUUUCCUAGUUGUUUUUUAAUUUCUUGUUGAUUUGGUUUGGCUCGUUUGAAAAUCCAGGCUAGAGGCAGUGCUAUGAGCCCUAUUAUUAUUAUACGCUUCUUGUUGUGAUUAAUUAUUCUAUGAUAUUUUCCUCUGUUUCGCAUCUGCAACGAUUCUGAGCUAUUUAGGUUCCGAUACAAUGCCACUGAGCAUGAUCGGAGUGUUCUCAUCAUAAUCACCGGACGUAAUCUCGCGGAGAAACUAACCGUCUAAACGUAAUCACAUGCGAUAAGUCAAUCUACAACGAGUUUUUCUCAGAUUCGUAUCACAUCGUAUAAACCAAAAGAGAAGGGAUUCUGAGUGGAUUUAACUUCGAUACUCGGAGAGGAGGAGGAGGAGGAGGAGGAGUAUUUAGGGCUUAUGAGGUUUUAGUGAAUAGACUUUGCGCGCUAAUCGAUAAGGUCCAAUUUGUUGCGAACAUUUUAAUUUCAAAUUACAAUUUAUCAGAGAAAUUAGUGGGUAAAAUCGUAAUUUCACUAAUUACUUGCCGAUUUGUGUAAACUCAAGUUCCCUGUAGAUCUCGCUCUACGGUCUCUCUCGCUUCUUUUUUCUUUGCAAUUAUUAGAUAGUGAUUGCUCCAACUGAACCAAAAUGCUCACACGUUACAUUGUAGCAUGUACCAUCAUCAGUCUGGGAUCCCUCAAGAGAACAUGAUACUUGUAAUUUGUAAACUGAGCAUUAGCAUAAAAAUGCCAUCGCUACUCAUUCAUCUGUGCAUUGUAGGGUGUAGACUUGUUCAUAUGCUAAGCCAAAGCAGAUUGGGUCGUUUCAGUUUUGAAAAAAAAAAAAGAGUCUUUUAUAAGGUAUUACAAUUUUUAUUUAUUUAUUUAUGAAGAUGAUAAACAAACCCCAAAUAUCAUGAUCAGAGUCACGGGGCGGAAUCUUGAUAUUUCGCUGAGAAACUAACCGUCUUUAGCGUAAUCAAAUGCGAUAACCUAAUCUAUAUAGAGGUAGAAUUCUAGAUGAUAAACAAACCCCAAACGUUAAAAACAUUAAAAUUAAGAAACUUUCAUAUGUUUAUUCUGAAACUGCAACAUUAUGGAGGGAUUAAGCUCUCGUUCUCUGAACCACCAAACUGCCAGGCCAGAUUGUCAAUGGCACCAAACAGAAAAAUCGUCAACGUAACCACACGGUAGAGGAUCAUCAUAAAAAACAGCACCACCACUUGGACCACCCAACCCCCUUCCUCCAAAUCCUCUUCCUCUUUCAGUAGCGAAGUCCACCCUAAUUCUUCGACCAUGAAGGUGCUGUGUUCCAGAAAACAAAAACAAUAAAUGGCCUAUUGACAGACAACACGAAGCAAAGAAGAAUCACAAAUAAGCAUUGCCUGAAUCAUCUAUACACAGUCUGAAAACAGUGAUUUAUUUUAGAACUAGCUAUAAAUAGAAUGACAUCGCUCUCCGUUUCAGCCAUUCAUUAACGAAAGAUUAUUAUUAUUUCAGGCUAGAUGAUGCAUGAUGAUACCAAUCCUACCCCUAUGUUGCCAAUGUGUAAAGGCCAAAAAAAAAAACAAACACUUAAUUGUUCUAGAAACAUGCAUUGUCCAGAAACAACCGAGUUGAAAAAAGGUCAAAUUAAUAUGCAGAACAAGACAAUGAAUGAAUGACAAAGGAAUAGGCCAGAUGACAUCUUAGAAUUAAAAGAGGCUGGAACAUUUGUGUGUUACCUGUCUAUCCAACUGCAUGGCAUUAGUAGCCUCCAGGUUAGAAGUAAAUGUCACGAAAGCAAAACCCCUCGAUCUACCUGUUUCACGGUCCACAAAAAUUUUGGCUGUAAAUUGAUAAAAAAAACCAGUUAGCUACGAGUGAGUAUAAACAAGAGAAACCAUUCAGAAGAAAAAGGAAAGGCUAGAGUUUUACAAUUAACUUAAAAAGCGAGAGAUAGCAAACUACCAUCAACAACUUGUCCAUAUUUGCUAAAAGCUUCUCUCAAGCCAAACUCAUCAGUGCUGUAGGAGAUACCUACCUAGACAACUCUGAGACAAACAAGCAGAGAGAAACAAUACUAAAAAAAGAGAAUACUUUAAUUUCUCCCACAACCGAGAUAGAGUUAUAGUCACCUCCAACAAAGAUUUUUGAGGAAGACAUGCAACGGAUGCUCUGUAGCAUUGAGUUAGAGGCAGUGACAUGGGUGCUAGUCUGCCUAAGAGCAUCUCCAAUGUAAAACUCCACUUUUUUCUUCAAAAUGGAGUAAAAAUGAAAAUAGAGUAAAAUUGCUCCAAUCCUACUCCAUUUCCCACUCCAUAAUGGAGUGAUGAACAAACAAAAAAGAGAUUACUCCAUUUAUGGAGUAAAUUUCAUUAUGGAGUGAGAUAUGAAGUUGGGUUGGAGCAUUCCUUAAUCCAUAUUCACUUAUACUCCACUUUAAAGGAAAAAAUGGAGUAGGGAUGAAAAUGCCCUAAAUAUCCUUCCAACUUUACUUAAGAAAGCCAUGUUGUGUAUCCUGGAAGAAAAGAAAAUUCACUACAGUGAUUAAAACCAAAAUACAGAUAUUGAUUUCAGAAAAAGGCAGAAUCGAUGAAACAAGCGGAAGACCCAUCAAUUCAGUCGUAAAUACAAGUAAUAAAAAUGCAGCCUUUCAUAAAAACAAACAACAUACAAACUUACACCGUGACCUGGUGACAAAGAUUGAACCCAAGGUCAAACUCACUAAACCCAGCAAACAGAGAACAAUCUAUCAGCGAACGAAACAUCAGAAAGAGAAGCAUGGACGAGACUAAACUCACUCUCUAGGGUUUAAUGGAGACACAUCUCUCUGGAAGCGUCUUUCAUUGAGGUUCGCUCAUCCUGUCUGUCCGUUCAUUAUUUUGAGGUAAUCUUAACCGUUGAUUUGGAUUCUUUCGCUAAUCUUGACCGGUUAAACUGAACCAAUGGUUAACCGAAUCUAAAUCGAGACCGGGUUAUUAAAAUAAUAGCAUUGUGGAAAAAUAGUUAACGCGUGCCUUUUUGCAAAAUUUCUAAAGUUAGGGCCUCUUUAUUGCUUGCGUUCCACGUCUUCAUCGUUGUCCUUUCUAUUUCCGUUGGAAACAAAAUAAUUAAUUUACAAAGUUAAGGUCUCAGUAUAGAGAAAUGUACGAUCCUUCGGAUCUAGAACUUCAUAGUCAUUGAAAAUAAAACAAUAGAAAUCAUAUUUAUAGUUGUAAUAUACGUAUGUGUACAUUGUGUUGCAUAAUAGUGUUCAACUUCGGUGCGGGUCACACGGUGGACGAAGUGAGUGAAAGUGACUACAAAAGUUGCACAUUGGGGAACUCAAUUUCUUCCGACAGUAGCGAAGCACAAGCAUAUCUCUCAAGACAGCUGAUUCUCACUACUUCAUUUGCGCUAUCCCCGGCCACUGUGCCGGCCGCAUGAAGCUCUCUGUGAACGUAGGUUCAGCGGCCUCUUCAGACGGUUGCGGUGAUAGUGGUGACAGUAACACCCCCAGAACUACACCUUCUCCAACCGUAGAGGGCAGGAAGGCUGCUCCUUCCGCUUAUGCCACUGCUAUGUUAAAGCCGUUCAAAGCUUUGGUUGUGACUUGUGUAGUUGCAUUAUUAUAUGCUUUGGCUCUUUCUUAGUUGUCUCUAAUUUCUUUUUAAUU
rnacentral:lncRNA from 1 species